CAGCGCCACGAGUGGGAACUACAAUUAUUGGGCCUAAAGCGUCCGUAGCCUGUUUAGUAAAUUUCUUGUGAAAUUGUUGAGCUUAACUUAACAACGUGCAGGAAAGACUGCUAAACUUGGGACUGGGAGGGGUUAGAAGUAUUUUUGGGGUAGCGGUAAAAUGUUAUAAUCCCAAAGAGACUACCUAUGGCGAAAGCAUCUAACCAGAACAGGUCCGACGGUGAGGGACGAAAGCUAGGGGAGCAAAACGGAUUAGAUACCCGAGUAGUCC
rnacentral:rRNA from 1 species